GAUCCUGGCUCAGGAUGAACGCUAGCGACAGGCUUAACACAUGCAAGUCGAGGGGCAGCACGGUGUAGCGAUACACUGGUGGCGACCGGCGCACGGGUGAGUAACACGUGUGCAACCAACCCCGUACCGGGAGAUAACCCGCGGAAACGUGGACUAACAUCCCAUGACACUCUAGAGCCGCAUGGCUCUAGAUUUAAAAUUCCGGUGGUACGGGACGGGCACGCGCGACAUUAGGGUAUUGGCGGGUAAGG
rnacentral:rRNA from 1 species